rnacentral:rRNA from 1 species
UACGGGAGGCAGCAGUAGGGAAUCUUCCGCAAUGGACGAAAGUCUGACGGAGCAACGCCGCGUGAACGAUGAAGGCUUUCGGGUCGUAAAGUUCUGUUGUUAGGGAAGAACAAGUACCGGAGUAACUGCCGGUACCUUGACGGUACCUAACCAGAAAGCCACGGCUAACUACGUGCCAGCAGCCGCGGUAAUACGUAGGUGGCAAGCGUUGUCCGGAAUUAUUGGGCGUAAAGCGCGCGCAGGCGGUCCUUUUAAGUCUGAUGUGAAAGCCCACGGCUCAACCGUGGAGGGUCAUUGGAAACUGGGGGACUUGAGUGCAGAAGAGGAGAGUGGAAUUCCACGUGUAGCGGUGAAAUGCGUAGAGAUGUGGAGGAACACCAGUGGCGAAGGCGACUCUCUGGUCUGUAACUGACGCUGAGGCGCGAAAGCGUGGGGAGCGAACAGGGAUUAGAUACC